rnacentral:rRNA from 1 species
UAGUAGUCAUACGCUAGUCUCAAAGAUUAAGCCAUGCAUGUGUAAGUAUAAAUAGUUAACUUUGAAACUGCGAAUGGCUCAUUAUAUCAGUUAUAGUUUAUUUGAUGAAGAAUACUAAUUGGAUAACCGUAGUAAUUCUAGAGCUAAUACAUGUAUAAAGUCUUGUAGACUGCAUUUAUUAGAAUGAAAACCAUAGGUUUCGGCCUAUUCGUGAGUAAUAAUAACUAAUCAUAUCGUAUGCUUAUGUAACGAUGUGUCUUUCAAGUUUCUGCCCUAUCAGCUUUCGAUGGUAGUGUAUUGGACUACCAUGGCAGUAACGGGUAACGAAGAA